GGGUGACAGAGCAAGAUUCCGUCUCAGAAAAAAAAAAAGGAAAGAAAGAAAGGAAGGAAGGAAGGCACUGCUGGCUGCGUGGUGGAAACCAGUCUGCUGGAGGGCAAGAGUGGAAGAGGCCAUUGCAGUCACUCAGGCCAGCGGAGACGUGGGUCUGGCCGGGCCACGGCAGUGGAGGCGGGAGGAGCGUAGGGUGCAGGGUGCAUAUUCUGGCUGCAGAGCGGGGUUUCUUGGGGCGCUGCUACCGACAUUUUGGACUGGAAGACACUUCACUGUGGGGUCUGGCCUGUGCACUGUAGGGUAUUUAGAAGCAUCCCUGGCCCCAAUCCACUAGAAACCCAUAGCCCUACCCACCCCCAAUUAUGACAAUAAAACAUGUCUCCAGACAUUGCCAAAUGUGCCCUGGGGGCCACGGUCCCUCUGGGCUGAGAACCACUGCUGCAGAGCCUGCAGAACUCAGGGCUAGAUUGUGCAUGGAUUUGGAGCGAAAGAGAGAAAACAAGCACCACCAGGGGUUUCUCAUCUCAGCAAUUAAGUGGGGCAGUUACUGAGUUCAGGAAGCCUUGGAGCCAACGGCCGCUGUCAGGUUGAACACUGGAAAACAACAUUGGAAACUACAGUCUGGAGCUCAGGGAGUAUCUGGGUUGAAGGGAGAGACGGGAAUGUUGCUGGGGUGCAGCUCUCCAGGGACAGAGUGUGGACGGAGAAGAGCCAAAGAGACAGCUCCAAUGUCACAGCCUCAGAAAGAGCGGACACCAGGCCAGUGGGCCUCACAGGAGCCAGGGGAGACACUUGCAGGAGCAGGAGCAGGAGCGGUCUGCUGGGUCAGAUGCGGGGAUGUCUGAGUAGCAUGCGGACAGUGAGCUGGGUGAGGAAGGAGGGAAAAGCUAAGCCCCUUCCCAGCUGCAGGCUUCCUACCUGCAGCAAGCUCAAGACAGCAGAGGCAAGAAGACUUCAUUUUCACUCAAAUUCAGGACGGGACAUUUAACCUUCCUGCAGUGAGACAGUUUUUAUUAACUAAGAGCAACCAGAAACGUAAUAGGAUUGCCUGAGUUUGCAGCAGUGGCCGAGAAGAGGUGAUUCCCCUGACUAAAUCAGGACAGAGGAAGGAGUUGCUUUGUGAUUUGAUCCUGAAAGUGCUGCUAAUUCAACGCAUUGGCCACAUUUGGUCUGUAGGCACAAGGCCAGGGUUGAGAGAGCUGCUGAUGGGGGACCUGUGAUGGCCUGGAGCCCAGCCCAGCCUGUCAGCUGUAGGUGGGACUUCCCAGACCCGUCCAACCCAAAGCUCCACCACAGAGAGGAGACAGCCAUGAACUUGAGUACAGCGGUCCUGAGCCCCUAGAAGAAGAGCCGGGACGUGAUCCACGUGGUCACUCCAGCAUGGCCAAGCACAGGCAAGCAUCUGCAGACUUCUGGAAGGAAUUGCGGCGAAGCAUCUUCGAAGGAUGUUAGAGGCCCCCAGGUGAAGAUAGAACCAGAGGAUAGGAUUUGCUUCAGUAAAGGUGAUUGGGAUCAUUGUUUUCUUCUUCAGGUGCUCUGGCCAGGGAAAAGAUGAAAUUCACACCUGUUAUAUUCACUUAUCAGCUUAAUUCUCUCCAGCAAAGAAGAACGUAGCUCCUGACUGGCUGCCACAUAUGUGUCUGAGCAGCGAGUUCCAGGGACCUUCUCAGUGAUGCCGAUGGCCUCUCCAGGCAAAUAGCGCAGGCCUGGCCGGUAUCCAGAAGGAACUCCAGGCUGCCUCUCCUUCCCGGACGCACACCCUCCCCUGGGGAAAGACCCCAGACAGAGCCCGCGGGGCCUACAAAUAGCAGAGUCCCUGGCUCUGAGCACAGGCAACGGAGAGGGGACGGGAAACGGGACUCGGGCGCCAAGUCACUCCCCUGCCUCGCCCUGGCGGAAGGGCAGGCGUCACACCUCUAGGAGGAAGGCAGAUGUGAGAGGGCUGAGCCCUUCCGGGGGCUCAGAGGAUCAAAGGCACUGACAUCCUAAGAGAAUUGGAAACCAGAAACAGGGCCGGGCGCGGUAGCGCACGCCUGUAAUCCCAGCACUUUGGGAGGCCGAGGCGGGCGGAUCACGACAGAGCGAGACUCCGUAUCAAAAAAAAAAAAAAGAAAAAACAAAAUAGAAACCGGAAACAGGAUGAGCUGGGUCUGCAGAAGCGGCGUGUGGGACCCAUUCCCCGCAAGGGCUUUGUGGAUAGGAACCCAGCACAGACUUCCCUCUUAUCAACAGGACCGAGGCAUGAGAACACGAGGGUCAGCCUGGGCUCCCUGACCGCAGUCUCCUCAGAAGGGAGUCUGGACAGCGAGUCUUGCCUCUGCUGCUCCUCUGGGGCCUCCUGAUGCCUGGCAGGGAGAGGAGCCACCGUGUGAGGGUUUCUGAAAUUAAACUGUUCUCAGAGUCGCAGCUGUCAGGAAGGGACAGCAAGAGCCAGCUGACAGGAGCCUGAAUCUUUCCAACGCAAUCCAUCUAGGAUGGGAAAAGAAAGACCAAUUUCCAGCCUUGCCAGACUCCUAGGGAUGGGCUGAGCAUGCAGACUCUGUCACUCACCAGCCGCUGACCUUGGCCAAGCACCUCAUUGUCUCUGAGUCUUGGUUUCCUUAUUCAUAAAACGAUAAAAGUCCUGAUCUCACAAGGCUGAUGUGGGAGCCAGAAAUAGCGAUGCUGUGUGACAGGCCCGCAACCCUUCCAGUUCCUCUCCCUCACCAGCAAGCCAGAGGCCUGUUUUAUUCAGGGUUUCUGGCAGCCACAUGCUUCAGGAGAAGCAGGACUCCCUGGGAGCCUAGCACAGUGUCUUGAUUGGUCUAAGCCAGUCACGGUGACCCAGUGAUUAGUUUAUGAACGGGCGUGUAACUUCAUUCUGACUAACAAGACACGAGAGGAAGUGUCUGGAUGAAUUUGGGGAAAGUUUCCCUUACUCUUAAAAAAAGAGCUAUAAAGAAGGGGCUUUCUCUCUUUCUGACCUUUGGGUGUGGUUGGGUGAGAACAUGAUACUUAGAACUGCUGCAGCCAUAUUGUGACAUAAAGGGAUAAUACCCAACAUAAAAGCCAAGAGGCUAACGAUGGCAGAGUGUCGAGAUGAAAAGAAGCCAAGUCCUUGGUGACAGCCUUGAGCGGUUGAAUUAAUUUCCCUUGGGAUGUCCCCAACUUGAGACAUCUCAUUAAGUGAGAGAAUGCUGUCCCAAGGUCAGAGACACGGGACAGUGGGGGUCAGGGGCAAAGGCUCUAGAGCUUGACUGCCCAAUCCACCACCACUACUACUGAGGACUUUUGGCUUGUUUAUUUUCUCUCUCUUCUCAGUUUCCUCAUCUGUGAAAUGGGGAUGGUGAUAAUAACCGUAUCUGGUUUAUGAGAUCAUUGUGAGGAUUUAAGGGGUUAAUGUGUAGAAAGUAUUCAAAUCGCGUCUGGCACAUGGUAAGUGUCAUGUAAGUGUCAGCUAUGACUAUUGCAAGCCAUUUUGACUUUUUCUGUUAUUUAUAUCUCAAAGUAUCCUCUUAAAG
rnacentral:lncRNA from 1 species